AAGUCAAAUCAUAUAUCAUCGAUUUGAAUUUUUCUGUUUUGAGAUUUUGAAUUGCAGGGAUUGUGUUCCUAUGACCACAAUUGUUUUGUUUGGGUUAUGAAGUUUUUUUAAUGGUAUUUUGGUUGUUUGAUUAGCUAUAAUAUGCACGUCAUUUGUUUAUGCUUGUGUAUCUGGGGUUUCAAUUUGAUGAGUAGUGCUUAGUUCUUGGAUUAUGUUAUUUUACUUUUUAUUAUUAUGUUGUUCUUAGCCGGGGAUCAUGAGUUUUAAUUUAUUUGCAUGUGAAUUUGCUGCUAUCUCUAGUAGGUUGUCUAAUAAAUUAAACUUGGCUUGGAGUGUUAGGAUCAAUAGAAAUGGUUUGUUGUUAGUUUGAAACUCUGUCUACAUGAGACCGAGGAAACAUAGAGGAGGAACUUGGAUGAACUUAAAGUUGUGGAACAUUCGAAUUACAAUUACAAUAAAAUGUAAAAGAGAAUGCAAGAUGAGAUUGAUGGUUUGUUGCAAAGAAUGGAGGCAACAAAGCAGCAAUGGGUUUAACUUUUUAAUUUUAUUAUUAUUUUGUUUUCUGAUUCAGGAUACUGCUAGAAACAUGUUUAAUUUAUUGAACUUCUGUUUGGUUUCCAGAAUAUAUGAUUUUCAAUUUAUAAAUUCAUGAUAUUUGUUUAUUUAUGGAACCACAAAAGGUCAAGUUAAUAUUCACAUGCUCAAGUUUCUUCCUAUACUCCUUCAAAUUUCUAGUAAAGUUAUAUUGGGUUUUUAUUUUAUUUUUAAUGCUAAUGACAAAUGACCAGAGUUAAUUAUAAUUAUUAAGUAUGAUUACCCUAUAAUUUUGUAUAUUUUCCUAUUUGAGUAUUUAUGUAUCCUGUUAAAAUUAAUGUUUGGUUUGUGUACUGCUUUUUAGUCUUCACAAGCAUAAAGUGAAUAGUAAUCAUGUGAAGAGAAAGCAGUACCUAUAGUAUUCUUUAAUUGCUGCCAUGGACAUGUUAUGUAGUCGCUCUUCUGACCAACCCUUUUCUGAGGAGGUAUUCUGGAAUCCUACUGUCCCUUGUGCAUGGGCAAGAGGUGGAUUUACAACAAGUCUAUCAAUAAUCCUAUCUACAUUUCUCAAGUUCUCGUUACCGUAAUUCAUAUUAUGCUCUCCAACAGGUGCAACUCAUUAGCUAUGAUGAAUUGAAUUCUCUCCCUCUCUUCUGUUAAUCAAUGCUCUUUUUAUUAUCAUAUUUAGGGUUUUUAUUUUCUUUUUUUUUGUUUAAUAAUAUUAUGUGAAAGCUGUUGUGAAAUAUGAUAUAAGACUGUUUGUUUGUCUUUGAAUCCUGUUUGGUUGCUGUGGCAGAUGAAAAUGUGUUAAAAAUUUGAGAAAUCAUUUAUCUGCUUUUAAAGAUUUAGCAGACAGUGUUAUGUUGCUUGAACUGAUAGUAGAUGCAGAGUGGAGGGAAAAAGUUGAAGCUAGUCAUGAGAGUGAUUCUGAAGAAGGAACCACUCACAAUCACAUUUAUGGCAUUAUUAUUCAUUUUAUAUAUAUUUAUAUGCUUUACAAAUGGAGAAGGCCACUAUCUUUUUGAAUUAUUAUUUCUGUGUUACAGACUUAGAAAGCUUUUGUGCUUUACUAAUAUUAAUAUUAAUUGUGAUGUUGAUUUGCAUAUUCUGUUGUUUUUUUCGGCUCAAAGAACAAAGGGAAGAGAAAGAGAUCUGGUAAAUGUGGAAAUCGCUUAUGGAAAUCCAUUGGUCUUGGAUUCAAGACUUCCAGAGAACCACUAAAGGAAUUUUCUUUGGAGACUAGUCAGGACAUUAUCCAACCAUCGGCAACUUGAGGAAAAAAGGUCUGAUGAUUGAUGUUACCUUCCCUGUAUGGAAUUCCAAUCCUGAGUCGGGUGACCACUUGUUUAUGCACUGCACUGCUGCAAAGCGAGUCUGGUUUGCUCGCUACUGAGAGCUCACGUACCAAGUGAGACUGAUAAUAACCUGGAUGAAGAGCUAGAUUACUUGCAAGGAAAAACUUGGAUCGCAACUGGUUUGUGCAACUCUGGAAGAUUUGGAAUGAGAGAAAUCUAAUUCUGUUUAAAACACUUAAUGUCAAAUCUUAUGGAGGUGGCUAGGAGUGCUUGUGAUUUUGUCUCAAAUUUUAACCAAGCAGGGGAAUGACAUUCUGCAGGAAAGCAUACCAUAAAUCAGAACUGUCACUGCUAAUUUUACUGCACAGGUUGAUGAGGGGGCUGUCUGGAUGGCCCUACCACGUGGGGAUGUGUUUUUAAAGAUCCAAUGGGUGUUGUUUCUUUGGCAGCUUGCAGAAAAGAAUGCAUUGCCUCAGAUUCGUAUACGGCAGAAGCUCUUGGUGUGUGCUGGUGCCUUCAAUUGGCAGCCGAACAAAAUAUCUAAAGCAUAGAAGUGUAAUUGGAUUGUAAUGAUCUGAUGUUUAGUUUUAGACAUGCUUCUGACAGUUUCAUUGGUAGACAAAAUAAUGUAGAGAGAGGCCCAUAAGUUGGCAAAGUUAGCAAAAA